GCCGUCGUGGCGUAAUGGUAGCGCGUCGCUUUCCUAAUCUAUUAAUAGGCGAAGGUUAUGCGUUCGAUACCCAUCGUCGGUA